rnacentral:lncRNA from 1 species
CUGAGAGCUUCAGAAGUGUGAUGAUGUGACCAAACAUGGAUAGCAGGGUUAGAAAAGCCCUUCCUGGGGCCGGCCCCAUGGCUGAGUGGUUAAGUUCUCACGCUCUGCUUCUGGGGCCCAGCGUUUCACCAGUUCGGAUCCUGAGCGCAGAUAUGGCACCACUCACCAAGCCAUGCUGAGGCAGCAUCUCACAUAGCACAACCAGAGGUGCUCACAGCUAGAAUAUACAACUAUGUACUGGGGGCCUUUGGGAAGAAGAAGAAAAAAAAAGAAGAUUGGCAACAGACGUUAGCUCAGGUGCCAAUCUUUAAAAAAAAGAAAGAAAAGCCCUUCCUGAGAAAAUGACAUGUCAGGAGAAAUCUAGCUAGGUGAAAGAGAAGACUAUUCUAGGUAGAGGAAACAGCAGUGUGAAGGCUCUGAAGCAAGUUAGAACAGUACACUUGAAGAACUGAAAAAUGUCCAUUGUGGCUAGAACAUAGAAAGGGGAGUGUAGUACAAAUGAGACUGGAAAGACAGGCAAGGAUUAGAUCAGAGAGCGCCUUGGAAGUCAUGUUAAAGAUUUCAGAAUUUUUUUUUUUAAUAUUGGCACCUGAGCUAACAAGUGUUGCCAAUCUUUUUCUUCGUCUUCGUCUUCGUCUUUGUCUUCGUCUUCGUCUCCAUCUCCGUCUCCUUCUCCUUCUUCUUUCUUCUCCCCAGAGCCCCCCAGUACGUAGCUGUAUAUUUUAGUUGUGAGUGCCUCCGGUUGUGCUAUGUGGCACGCCGCCUCAGCAUGGCUUGAGGAGCGGUGCCAUGUCUGCGCCCAGAAUCCGAAUCAGCAAAGCCCUGGGCCGCCGAAGCAGAGCACGCAGACUUAACAACUCAGCCACAGGGCCAGCCCCCUCAGACAUUUUUCUAAGAAUUGUAGGGAGCCGUUGAAGAAUUUUAAACAGAGGAGUUACGUGUUAGAGUUGAGUUUUUAUGUUGUAUUGUUUUUGUUUCUUUGAGGAAGACUGGCCCUGAGCUAACAUCCAUGCCCAUCGUCCUCUACUUUAUAUAUGGGACACCUGCCACAGCAUGGCUUGAUAAGUAGCGCGUAGGUCUAGGCCCAGGAUCCAAACCAGUGAACUGCCAGCUACAGAAGCAGAGCACACAAACUUAACCGCUACACCACUGGGCCAGCCCCUAGAUUUGUGCUUUUAGUAUGCAGCUAUGCUGUAAUGUCCAUGGAUUGGAUUGGAAGUGAAAUGGUGCAUGUGAAGAGACUGGUUAAGAGGCUAUUGUCCAUGAAGGGAGAUGCAGAAGUGGAUAUUUUUGAUAUUUUGGAAGCAGACCCAAUAGAUUUUGUUGAUUGUUUAGAUUUGGAAUUUGAGGAAGGAGUCAAGAAGAGAUCUUGGGUUUCUGUCUUGAGAAAUUGUGUAGAAGGUGAUACUGAGAUAGGGAACAUUGAAGGAAGAGCAGGCUGGAGGGGAGGAGUGCAUGAGGUGAGUUCAAUAUCAGAUGUGUGUUUGGAGAGCUGGAGAGAGAUUAGAGCGGAGACGUUAAGAAGGCAAGUAGAUAUUGGUUUGGAGCUCAGAAAACAGUUCUUACCUAGAGAUAGGAAUUUGAGAGUUCUCUACAUACAGAGGAUAAUUGAGACUCUGGAGGAUGCUACCACUUAUGGAGUGUGCAAAGUGAGGUGAGACAAGAGUAUCGGACUGAUGUUUUAAGACCUCCAACAUCUACAGCGUUGUAUAGAAAAGUAUAAGCCAGUAAAGGAAACUCAAGAAAGGUAGGAGGGGACUGUGUGUGGAGGAAAAUGGGAGAGUGUAGUUCCAAAGAAGCCAAGGUUAGAGAGUUUUGAGAAGAAAGAAGCAGGAGCCAUGUUCAAUGCUGCUGUUGCUUCAAAAUAAUAAGAUUUUUAAAUGUCCACUGUUUUUAGCAACAUAGAGGAUAUGCAUCAGAGAAUGGAGCAGAUGCCCUAUAUCCUGAUCUUUCAACUGUCAUUGAUGAUGGCUAUCAGCGUGGACUCUCUGCCCAGGGGUCAUCACAUUCCUAAGGAAUUCAAAAGAACAAAGUUAUCAACUUGUAGCAGCUGGGAGGGGCCACAAAAUCUACAGAGCCUGGCUGGGUUAAUUAAUCAGAGGGCAUUCGAACUUACAACAUGAUUUCUUUUCUACAAUAUGGCUUCCUUUAUGUCAAUUUAGUGUUGAGCUGGUAUCAAAUGCUGAAAGGAGACAAUAGGUUAAAAAAGAAAGUGGAGGGG